rnacentral:lncRNA from 1 species
GCCGGGUGUGGUGGCGCACGCCUUUAAUCCCAGCAGGCGGGAGGCAGAGGCAGGCGGAUCUCUGAGUUUGAGGCCAGCCUAGUCUACAGAGUGAGUUCCAGGACACCCAGGGCUACACAGAGAAACCCUGUCUUGUAAAACCAAAAAAAUAAAAAAUAACAAACAAACAACAACAAAAAAAACACAGGGGUCUUGUGUAGCCCUGACUGUCCUGGAACUUACUCUAUAGGCUGGCCUUGAAUUCAGAGAUCCAUCUGCCU